AUUCUUCUCACGCCGGCGAUUUCACUUCGCCUUUUCAGGGAAAAAUCAAAAACCCUAAUUACCAAAGAUUCACUCGUCUUUGUCAUCUUCUAAAGCAAAUCCUCAUCUAGGUCUCUCCAGAUUUCGAUAAAGCUCAAGAAAUUUAGGAUCUUUAAACUCAAAUUUGAAUCCCCUGAGGUUGGGUUUGCCAAUUUCAUUAUGAGCUCUAUCAAUAUCACUAACGUCACCGUAUUGGACAAUCCAGUGCCUUUUGUUAACCCAUUCCAGUUCGAGAUCUCUUACGAGUGCUUAAAGACGAUUUAGAAUGGAAGCUUAUCUACGUAGGAUCGGCUGAAGAUGAAACCUAUGAUCAGGUUUUGGAAAGUGCUUGACUUCUCUUAAAGAAGAGUGGCGGAUCAGAAUUUGCAGCGGGAUUAGGAGUCUGGAGAUUUCAAAUCAUCAUAGCCACGAAAGUACUUAGAAUUGGCUCAGUCCGAGGUUUUGCUUCAUCAUAACCACUAGGUCGAGUCAGUGGUUCCAGUUCAUCAAAACCACUUGGUUCCAACAAGAGGUUUUGCUUCAUCAUUGCCACUAGAUCAUGCUAUCCCGGCCACCAGGUCCAGUACUUUGGUGGGAGCAUUUGCUGAUGUGUUGUACCUUGUGGCUGCACACCCUUAAGCAGAAGAAAAUUGCAGAAUGUGAGAAAUCUAACUGUGGCUGAUUACAUCAGAUAAGAUUGCAAAUUGUGAGAAAUCUAACCGGAUGAUUGGCAAAGCAUUGUUCAACAGAUAAAAGAUUAACCAAUUCAUUAUAAAUAACUGAACUUCUUAA